CCGAAGUAAACAGCAACAAUUGUUUAGGGUCUGCUGCUCUGGUGCUAGGACAUAUUUUUGCUGAAGCGAGCGCAGGAAAAUUGUGUGAAUGAAGAUGAGAAAAACGUCUAUGCGAAUUACAUCCAAUUGAUAUGUGACCGAUGUUCGAGACAUGACUACCUGUGGCAAAAGAUCUGAGAUAGAGCUAUUGUGUUGGAAUAUUGACUCGUAAAGACGGUUGAGCGCGGACAUCGCCGGACAGAUUCCUCCGGUUCAUGCAGCUUUGGUCGAUCGAUGACCCAGAGAGAACCAUGUGAGAAAGUAAACAUUAGGAAUCGAGCAAUUCGAUAGCAACGAGCGAGUGAUAGCUAUCGAUGCAAGUGUCAGAACUUUUCGAGUUGUUUUUAUUUGUUUUACGGUGCUGCCAGAAUAGUCUAUACAAGCGCAUAUCUCUCUGGCUGAAAAUGAGUGGACAGACGAAUCACCAACAGUUUGAACGACUCGUUAAACCAAUGAAAGCGAAUGUAAACAUUGCUCGAAAUUUUUGUGGAGGCAGUUCAAAUAGAAUCCCGGUUAAGGAAAAGUGGGAGGAAUUCAGUGAGGAGCUUAAUGUACUGAGACCAUCAAUGUGUCUUGGUUCAGAAUGG